rnacentral:rRNA from 1 species
AUUGAACGCUGGCGGCAGGCCUAACACAUGCAAGUCGAGCGGCUGAAGGGUGCUUGCUCCUUGUUUCAGCUGCCGACUGGUGUGUAUUUCCUUGGUAUCUGCCUGUUUGUUUUUUAUUACGUCCUGUCACGGGCGCUCAUACCCCAUUCGUCCUUACGUCGUACGUGGGGGAUCUUCGGAUCUCCCGCUAUUUCUUGAUCCUAGGUCGGAUUAGCUAGUUGGUUGGUUAAAGGCCUACCAAGGCGACUAUCCGUAACUGGUCUGAGAGGAUGAUCAGUCAAACUGGAACUGAGACACGGUACAGACGCCUACGGGAGGUAGCAGUGGGGAAUAUUGGACAAUGGGCGAAAGCAUGAUCCAGCAAUGCCGCGUGGGUGAAGAAGGUCUUCGGAUUGUAAAGCACUUUAAGUGGGGAGGAAGGGCAGUAAGUUAAUACCGUGCUGUUUUGACGUUACCAACAGAAUAAGCACCGGCUAACUUCGUG